UGCCAGCAGCCGCGGUAACACGGGGGCGGCAGGGGUAUUUGGGAAUUAUGGGCGUAAAGGGCGCGCAGGCGGUCUUGUCCGUCAGGUGUGAAAGCUCGGGGCUCAACCCCGGAAGUGCACUUGAAACAGCAAGACUUGAAUACGGUAGAGGAGAGAGGAAUUCCUGGUGUAGAGGUGAAAUUCGUAGAUAUCAGGAGGAACACCGAUGGCGAAGGCAUCUCUCUGGGUCGAUUAUUGACGCUGAGGCGCGAAGGCGUGGGUAGCGAACGGGAUUAGAUA
rnacentral:rRNA from 1 species